GACGAACGCUGGCGGCGUGCCUAAUACAUGCAAGUUGAGCGAUGAAGAUUGGUGCUUGCACCAAUUUGAAGAGCAGCGAACGGGUGAGUAACGCGUGGUGAAUCUGCCUUUGAGCGGGGGACAACAUUUGGAAACGAAUGCUAAUACCGCAUAACAACUUUAAACAUAAGUUUUAAGUUUGAAAGAUGCAAUUGCAUCACUCAAAGAUGAUCCCGCGUUGUAUUAGCUAGUUGGUGAGGUAAAGGCUCACCAAGGCGAUGAUACAUAGCCGACCUGAGAGGGUGAUCGGCCACAUUGGGACUGAGACACGGCCCAAACUCCUACGGGAGGCAGCAGUAGGGAAUCUUCGGCAAUGGACGAAAGUCUGACCGAGCAACGCCGCGUGAGUGAAGAAGGUUUUCGGAUCGUAAAACUCUGUUGGUAGAGAAGAACGUUGGUGAGAGUGGAAAGCUCAUCAAGUGACGGUAACUACCCAGAAAGGGACGGCUAACUACGUG
rnacentral:rRNA from 1 species